AGUGAACGCUGGCGGUAGGCCUAACACAUGCAAGUCGAACGGCAGCACAGUAAGAGCUUGCUCUUACGGGUGGCGAGUGGCGGACGGGUGAGGAAUACAUCGGAAUCUACUUUUUCGUGGGGGAUAACGUAGGGAAACUUACGCUAAUACCGCAUACGACCUACGGGUGAAAGCAGGGGAUCUUCGGACCUUGCGCGAUUAAAUGAGCCGAUGUCGGAUUAGCUAGUUGGCGGGGUAAAGGCCCACCAAGGCGACGAUCCGUAGCUGGUCUGAGAGGAUGAUCAGCCACACUGGAACUGAGACACGGUCCAGACUCCUACGGGAGGCAGCAGUGGGGAAUAUUGGACAAUGGGCGCAAGCCUGAUCCAGCCAUACCGCGUGGGUGUAGAAGGCCUUCGGGUUGUAAAGCCCUUUUGUUGGGAAAGAAAAGCAGCAGGUUAAUACCCCGCUGUUCUGACGGUACCCAAAGAAUAAGCACCGGCUAACUUCGUG
rnacentral:rRNA from 1 species